UAAAAAAUGUUUAUACUUUUACAUAAUAUAUUUAUUUUGUUAUAAACUUGUUUUACUUUAACAAUGCUAAGAUUUUUAAUAUGUUUAUUAUUAUUUAUUUUUUAUCUGAACACUAUAAUAAUUUACUGUUACUAUGUAUGUUACUAAAGUUUUAUUUAUAAAAGAAACUACAAGUUCUAUUAUAUUUUUUCUGAGUAUGUCUUUCAAAUAUUACUUAACUAACAAAAUAUUAUUUAAAACACUUUAUAUUACCUAUUCAAUUAUCAAAAUAUAUAUUAUGUAUCUACUGUCCUACUAUUUCUAUAUGUUUACAUGGCAGAAUUAUGAAAACAAAUUUAAAUUUAAAAAAAAGAGGCUGUUCUGUUUCAAUCCCCCCCCCCCCCCAUUUUGUUUUUUGGAUAGCAUUGAAAGUUGUUGUGCACAAACUUCGGGACCUGGUGCACAUUUCUGCUUAAACGUUUGGCACUCUUAAAAUUGCAAUUUUCCAAAAAGGGGGUAUUUCGUUUCAAUGGCCCCCAUUUUGUUUUUUGGAACAGCGCUGGAAGUUUUUAUGCACAACCGUCGGAACCUGGUGCAAAUUCCUUCACAAACGAUGCUCGAACGUUUGGCGCAUUCAAAAAUAAAAACAUUCAAUGUGGGGAGGGAGGGUACCAUUUCAAGCCACUUCAAAUUCUGUAUGAUUCAUGUUAUUAUUUUAAAAGGAUAUAAUAUUAUGAUGGGAGGACGGAGUGACCGAGAUGACUAGAGCAUCGGUUCCGGCAUUUACCGUCGCCGGUUCGAAUCUCAACUACGGGCGGCUCUUCUCUCUGGGGCCUGGGCCGGCAACUGUCUAGACUCUAGACUCUAGAGAGUGAGGCCGCCAUCCCCCGACCGGUCAUGGCAAAAACCUACGGGUGCCCAAUUCGAAAUUCUGGUUUCCUAAAAACACGUGUUUCAACUAACUGUUCCUACCCCAACAAAAACAACAAAAAAAAACAGCUACCUAAUAGCCAUAGUUUCCGGGCUUAAGAUCAAUAAAUAAAAAAAAAAAAAUAUGAUGACGGUAUAUAAUGUAAUAUAAAUUAAUAAAUAUAAAAUAUUUAUACUUGUUUGAAAAAGCAAUAUGUAUAAUAUUAUAUAAAGCAAUUAAAAAUUAACAAAAAAUGUAAUUAUAUAGGUAUUAUAAUUUUUUGUUUUUACUUUUUUUCAAGGCUUGGCAAGUUAAAGAUUUUUUUUAACUCAGUUAAGUUAAGUUAAUAUGCACCAAUAACAAAAAGUUAAAAGUUAAGAGUUAAUUUAACUCUAGGUUAACUCAGUUAAGUUAAAAGUUAAUACACACUUUUUGUUAACUUUUUAUUAAGUUAAAAAAAAGUUAAUUUGUUUAUACAACGCUAGCCUACUUAAUUUUUUUCCAACCCAAAACUAAAUUGUAGGAUAUAGUGUUAAUACUUCAUACAGUAUUUCCAUAUAAGUUAGAUUCGAAUGAUAUACAUUUUUAACUUUAAACAAUUUACGAUACAUAUUUUUUGACAUGAAAACGAAAUAGACUGGUGAAAGACAGUGAAAUAUUAUACAAUUAAAAACAAAAUAAAUUAACUUAACUUACUUCUUAAAAUGAAAAAUUAACUCGUUAAUUUCACGUUAAUUAAGAAAGAAAUUUAGUAAGUUAACAGUUAAGUUAAUGAAAAUCCAAAAGUAACUAGUUAAGUUAAAAAGUUAAAAGAAAAAUAACUUUUUAACUUAACUUUAACUUUUUAACAAGUUAAUGCCCACCUUUGCUUUUUUUUAAUUCUAUACCGAUAUAUAAUACAUAUAUGAUAUAAUAUGUAUAAUGCAGUAUACACUCAAAUCGACUAAUUGUAUGAAUUAAUUUUGAAAUGUGGAAUAUUCAAUGAGGCAACAAACAUAAUAUUAUAUUAUGCUAAUUUUAUUUUAAAUUAAACUUUCUAUGUAAAACCAUACCAACUAUUUUUUUUUAUACUAAAUGUACUUUAGUUCUUUAGGCUAUCAGUUCGUCUAACGUCUUGGAUCUGAAAUACAAAAACCUAUUGGCGACGUUGAAGAUCUAUGAAGUAUUCCCUGGAGAUGCUGGAGAAUAAUAUAUCUGAAAAGCUACCAACUCGUUGGGAACUAUAGAAUCAAGUUGCAAACUCACAGUCAAAGCUGUGGGCGUAUCUAAAAACAAAAACCGAAACGACUCGCCUCCAGUAAUUGCCAGCCAUCUGACAUCGGCUACGGUGACCGACGGGUGACGGCGAUGCAGUGACACUCCAAUGCCAAAUCAUCGGAGCCAAUAAAUUCGAUGUAGUAUGGCUCCACAACCACAAGGAAUAAAAUCACAGUAAAGAUUUUUACUACGCCAACGUGGCCAACGUUUACACCCUCAAAAUUGCUGAAAUUUGCCCUGAACGUGAAGCGUUCAGCAGUUGUUCGAUCUUCGUUCUAGGCAAGUACUACGAAAAUAAUAUUGAAAUAUCGUUACAUGAUGGUGUUACGUUACAAACGAUCAUGACGUGGCUAAACCACCCAAUACAUUAUUAUUAUACGACUCUAUUGUUAUAGAGAUCCUAUGGUUAGAAACAAUAGUUUCUCCUUCGAUAUGUACCAAAAACGCUCAGUUUGUAUAAUGCAAUAUCUUUGCCGUGGAUGAUAUUAUAAUCGACACGAUUCUUACCAACACUAAUUUAUUUUAUUAUAAUUUUAUAAUUAUUUAUAAUGAAAUUACGAUAUAGACUCUAAUAAUAAAUGUGUAACAAUUAUGUAAUUACCUGAGUAUGAAAAAUGCAGAUUUAGGACUACUAAUUAUACUAUAACAGUAUAACACGUUUAUCUACAGUACGGUCACCGAAAUUAGAGCCGCGAUCGUCGUGCAUCUAGUGUUUAAAUAUAUUGUCAUCUCUUCGUAAACUAAUUUCCGCCUAAAGUGAUUUUAAACCUCUUUUUACACUGAUAAUCGAAUACACGCCUAAAAAAUAAAAGUAAAAAGGCUCACUCAUAAUGUACGUUGAGGGAACAACUAUCUCGCAUACCAAAAUAUGCAUUUUAAAAAUCAUGGGAAAAUAGUUGAACACGUAGAACCACUGAUUCCAUAACAUUUGACCACCAGUAGCACAAAGAUCGCAGCUCAAUCGCCAAUUUAAAUAUUUGUUAGAGACGCUUAUGAAUAUAUAAGGUAACUUUUGUUUUUAUUUUAUUGUGGCCCCGUCACAUUAGGCUGUUGCCCAUUUGCGCCCAAGAGCAGCCCAUUUGCGCCCCGAAGGUUAUGGACAUUUGCGCCCAAAAUAAAAAACUUAACACCCUGAUUUAUAGCCCAAAUGCGCCCAUUUUGUAUGCAACGUUGCCGUCGUUGUUUAAAAAUAUACAAUCCUAUGUAAAAUCAAAAUUUAAAAAAAGUAAAAGAAAUGCUUUGUGUGCUGCGAUUUCAAAAUCUAAAUGGAUUGAUAAUGGUGUAAAAUUUUUUUGUAAUUUAUUUGUACAUACAUGGCAAAUAAAGUUCCACAUAGCCCGAUAACAUUCAAAUGAUUUUGAUGGUAAAAAUGCAAUAACAAGUGGUAUAUAAAAUCCAUUUACAUAUUUAUGAAUACCAUACAAUUGAUAAAAAUGCGAUGGUCUAUAAGUAAAAGUACCAUCACCAAAAAUAUCAGAGUAGUUGAAAACGCAUAAAAAAUUUAAAUUCGUUUUACAUGUAAUCAAAAUAAUAUUAUUUACAUUAUCAACAUAUGUAAACUCUUCGUUUUUAUUUGUUAAAAUUACUAAAUUAUAAAUCUGUUCAAUUGCUUCGUUGAGUGAUUUAGGAACUGAGGGUAAUAUUUGUCGACGUUCUCGGUAUAUAGACUUUCUGAUAUUAUGAAUAUCAGAAUGCUUAGCGGUGCUGCACGUGGAAAGCUCUGUAUGUAUUAUUUUAUUAGGUCGUAAAGUUAAAUUUUCACACGCUUUUCUUUUACACUUACCUUGAACGUCCAGUAAGUUUAAACUUUCUUCAGUUUCCGGAUCAUGGGUAUGGCUUUAAUUUCGGUUAACUUCGUUUUUGAACUAUUGGUUUUGACAUACGCACUACAGGUUUUUUUUACACAACGCCAACUUAUAUCUCCAGAAACAAGGGUUCUACUCACGUGAUAUUUAAAAUAACGAAAAACUAAACAAAGUUUUUGUUUACUUGAAGUAGUACCUAUAUAAAAUUCCAUUCUAGUAGUACUCACUAUUCAUGUACUGAUGCAACUGACACAUAAAAUACAACUGAUAAAUGCAUUUUUAUAUAAUAUAAUCUUUAUCGAUUGGGAUUUUACAAUUUCGAUUAGCACGACUAACGACAAAAUAUUAUUAUCUUUAUCGAUUUGGAUAUUGGUUUCGAUUAGCUUGGGAAACGAUCAAAUAUUAUUUUAGAUUUUAUAGUUACACGCCAAUAUACUCAAUAAAUGGCAACGUUGCACGAUUUUCACCUGAUCUGAAUCGGGCGCAAUUGGGUUGCGCCGCACAUUAGGACUGUAAUGGACCGUUUGCUUUUGCUCACUGCUUGGCCACCAUGCUACAUCGUUUAUUUAAUUAAUCAAUAUCAAAUAUUUACAACAUUGAUUGCUUCAAUAAAAGCCUGAACUUGCGCAAAUUACUUAUGAAGCUUCAAAACUUUCCGUGUUAGACGUAGGGGCGAAUAUAAGUUCCUAGUGUUCUUACAUGAGAUCUAGCUCGUUAAAAAAUAACAAAUGUUCGUUCCUAUUCGGCGGAAAAAUUAUAUUUUGUGUAAGUUCCCACACUAAUCAUUUAUUCGUUAUUACUAGAAUAUGAUAGUAUGUAUAAGGUGUUUAUAUUAUCUAUUAUUUUUAUAGUUAAUACCUA